GGAGAAGGUUAGGUUAGCAGACUGUUGGAUGUCUGUUUAAGUUGGUAGGUGGGGAGUUUAGGCAAAUCCGGACUUCCUUAACACUGAGAGAUGAUGACGAGUUUCUACGGAAAUGAAGUAACUGAUACCACGCUUCCAGGAAAAGCCACUAAGCUUCAGGUUUAUCUAAACCGUACUGAAAACCGACACAGGUGGUCAGGUAGAGAAUACUCAGGCGCUUGAGAGAACUCGGGUGAAGGAAC
rnacentral:rRNA from 1 species